rnacentral:rRNA from 1 species
AAGUUAGCGGCGGACGGGUGAGUAACACGUGGGUAACCUGCCCAUAAGACUGGGAUAACUCCGGGAAACCGGGGCUAAUACCGGAUAACAUUUUGAACUGCAUGGUUCGAAAUUGAAAGGCGGCUUCGGCUGUCACUUAUGGAUGGACCCGCGUCGCAUUAGCUAGUUGGUGAGGUAACGGCUCACCAAGGCAACGAUGCGUAGCCGACCUGAGAGGGUGAUCGGCCACACUGGGACUGAGACACGGCCCAGACUCCUACGGGAGGCAGCAGUAGGGAAUCUUCCGCAAUGGACGAAAGUCUGACGGAGCAACGCCGCGUGAGUGAUGAAGGCUUUCGGGUCGUAAAACUCUGUUGUUAGGGAAGAACAAGUGCUAGUUGAAUAAGCUGGCACCUUGACGGUACCUAACCAGAAAGCCACGGCUAACUACGUGCCAGCAGCCGCGGUAAUACGUAGGUGGCAAGCGUUAUCCGGAAUUAUUGGGCGUAAAGCGCGCGCAGGUGGUU